rnacentral:rRNA from 1 species
GGUGAACGCUGGCGGCGUGCCUAACACAUGCAAGUCGAGCGGUGCAGUUUGAAGCUUCGGUGGAAAGCUGCAUAGCGGCGGACGGGUGAGGAAAACGUAGGAACGUGCCCCUUGGAGUUGGAUAGCCACGGGAAACUGUGGGUAAACCGACAUAGACUCGAGAGAGUAAAGGCCGAAAGGCGCCAAGGGAGCGGCCUGCGGCCCAUCAGGUAGUUGGUAGUGUAAAGGACUACCAAGCCGACGACGGGUAGCCGGUCUGAGAGGAUGGCCGGCCACAAGGGCACUGAGAGACGGGCCCUACUCCUACGGGAGGCAGCAGUGGGGGAUUUUGGACAAUGGGCGAAAGCCUGAUCCAGCGACGCCGCGUGGAGGACGAAGCCCUUCGGGGUGUAAACUCCUUUUCUCAGGGAAAAAGGAUGAUGGUACCUGAGGAAUAAGCCCCGGUAACUACGUGCCAGCAGCCGCGGUAAGAUAGCGUACU